rnacentral:rRNA from 1 species
GGGGAAUAUUGCGCAAUGGGGGAAACCCUGACGCAGCAACGCCGCGUGAAGGAUGAAGGUUUUCGGAUUGUAAACUUCUUUGAUGAGGGACGAAAAAAAUGACGGUACCUCAAAAACAAGCCACGGCUAACUACGUGCCAGCAGCCGCGGUAAUACGUAGGUGGCGAGCGUUGUCCGGAAUUACUGGGUGUAAAGGGCGUGUAGGCGGGAAUGUAAGUCAGAUGUGAAAUACCGUGGCUUAACCACGGGGCUGCAUCUGAAACUAUGUUUCUUGAGUGUCGGAGAGGAAAGUGGAAUUCCCAGUGUAGCGGUGAAAUGCGUAGAUAUUGGGAGGAACACCAGUGGCGAAGGCGACUUUCUGGACGAUAACUGACGCUGAGGCGCGAAAGCGUGGGGAGCAAACA